rnacentral:rRNA from 1 species
UACGUAGGGUGCGAGCGUUAUCCGGAAUUAUUGGGCGUAAAGAGCUCGUAGGCGGUUUGUCGCGUCUGUCGUGAAAGUCCGGGGCUUAACCCCGGAUCUGCGGUGGGUACGGGCAGACUAGAGUGCAGUAGGGGAGACUGGAAUUCCUGGUGUAGCGGUGGAAUGCGCAGAUAUCAGGAGGAACGCCGAUGGCGAAGGCAGGUCUCUGGGCUGUAACUGACGCUGAGGAGCGAAAGCAUGGGGAGCGAACAGG